rnacentral:lncRNA from 1 species
AUGGCUGCCCUUCAGACUAAAUACGUUAUCAAGACGAUGCAAUGAUCACAAGAUCAAGAGGUAAAAUGUAGUUCAAGAUUUGGGGCUCAUUCACUGUAAGCUUAUGUUUCAUUCCCAUGUGUGUUAAGCACUAUGAUUUUUUAUAUUAAUUGAGUGGGAGUACAUUGCGUCUUACGUCAUUCUGUUUUUUCAGAUUAGAGAUUAAUCGAGUAAAAGACAAACAACGUAUAAAUAUUGGCUAGGAUGAUUCGUGGCGCUACACUGGCAAAUUUGGUGGAGUCAGAUAAACAUUAUAAAGGAUUCAACUAAAGGAAGAUUCGAUAUAUCUGCAGGAGAAAAGGUAAUGUUUUGUUAAGGAUGUUUUUAUGGGAAUUGCCGUAACAAAGCAUUGAUGUGUUUCUUGAUGUAUCGUUCCCUGCAGGAUGUGGAACCGUCACAUGGGUUCACUUGGGUCCAUGACUCCACGAGCACCAGACGUGGAUGGAUGGAUCGACGAGCGAUGAUCAAAGUUGGUUUGAGGUUGUACGGCUUGCCCGCCUUUGAGGUAUCUUGAUUUCAUAUGAAAACUAAUUUAGCAAGUUGAACAUUUAUAGCUGGAACUUAUUUAAUAUCAUAUUUGUAAUACAUGCAAUGACAUUUUCUAUUUUUCAUAUUAUUUUUGGCUAAAAACCGGUUCUAAUCCUUCUUAAAAAAAAACCGAACCAGUUAAAGAAAAAAAUGUCAACU